CAAUACAAUAGAGGUCGCGAUCGUUCACAAAAGCAAGGGGAGCUCACUGACAGUGUUGAGCCUUGUUAUUAAGGGACAUCGCCGAAAUCAGCAGUGGGGUCGUGCGCGCUGUUGGUUGGGCUGCAGGAGAAAAUUCUGCAGACUGUCCUAGUUUUCUAGGGAGCGCUAUAAUUUUU
rfam:Lactobacillus delbrueckii subsp. bulgaricus ATCC 11842 complete genome